rfam:Paenibacillus stellifer strain DSM 14472, complete genome.
UCUUCCGUGAGGAAGAAUCCGAAGGGCCUGCAGGCAAAGUCCAGCCCGGAAUGCGGUGAACCAGAGGUGGCGGCGAUGCUGGGUGACCCGCCCAGAAAACGGGGAAACUUAUGCGAAUAAGCAUACCUUGCAGGAAAACAAACAAAGGGAUACGACCUGCAAGGCUCAUCGACGUGAUUAGGGUCAGGAUGGAUGGAAUAGAAGGUGCAG